GUGCUCACUUUGGCAACACAUAUACUAAAUUUGGAACAAUACAGAGAAGAUUAGCAUGGUCCCUGUGUGCAAGGAUGAUGCGAAAAUUCAUGAAGAGUUUCUUAUUUUU